GGUCUCGUGGCGCAAUGGUAGCGCGUCAGACUUCUAAUCUGAAGGUUGCGGGUUCGAGCCCCGCCGGGACCU